GAUGAAGAACGUAGCAAAAUGUGAUAAGUAAUGUGAAUUGCAGAAUUCAGUGAAUCAUCGAAUCUUUGAACGCACAUUGCGCCCGCUGGUAUUCCGGCGGGCAUGCCUGUUCGAGCGUCAUUUCAACCCUCAAGCCCCCGGGUUUGGUGUUGGGGAUCGGCUCUGCCUUACGGCGGUGCCGCCCCCGAAAUACAUUGGCGGUCUCGCUGCAGCCUCCAUUGCGUAGUAGCUAACACCUCGCAACUGGAACGCGGCGCGGCCAUGCCGUAAAACCCCAACUUCUGAAUGUUGACCUCGGAUCAGGUAGGAAUACCCGCUGAACUUAAGCAUAUCAAUAAGGAGGA
rnacentral:misc_RNA from 1 species